rnacentral:lncRNA from 1 species
CCUAAACUGUCGUUUGGAUCAAGAUGCGACAACAAGCAAUAGAGAUCAAGUCCGAUAUGUUCACAAAACACCCUAAUAUCUACUUUCACUGAUUAGGGAUGCAAUGCUCAAUCAAGUUAUGUCUAGCAACCUAUAACACUUUUGAUGAAUAGAUUAAACCAAGAAUCAGGCACUAAGUGGUUAACUUGAUGCAAGCCUUAAGAACAACAGUGAAUGAAGACAAUCGAUUUAUAACUUAUUUAUGUCAAGCUCACGGAUCUAACACCCUAGACUAAGCAAGCUGACUACUCAGCCAUGAAGCAAGAAAACACAGAGACAGAGACUGAAUAAAACAUGUGUAGAUAAAAUAGAAUAAGGGUUCAGGGGGUUCUUCUCUCUGGUGAGAGAGAUGGAGCCUUCUCCCUUUACAAAGUAUCAAAUCACAAAUCUCUAAAAGCUCAAGUCUGAUUCCUUGUCUCAAAAACAGCGUAGAAUGUAAAAAAAAAAAGAGAAAAAUAUGAUAUAUCAAAGCCACAGGCGGCUGGGAGAGAAAAUAGAGAGAUUAUGGCAAAUCCCGAAAUAAGUUGUAGUUUCCUUAAAAAUCUCUGCCGCUGGAACAGACACUCGGAACAGUCACUCAGGUUGCUCCGCUAUCCGGAACAGUCAUCAAGACUGUUCUGCGUGAAAAUCACCAAAUUGUACUGUUUUCAGCCUCUUUUGUUCCAGCUGGUCCAUCUCCCAUCCAAUGCAACUCCAUACCUGUAAUGAUUCGAAAAGGACUACGAAGACUCGAUAAAGACUUGAAAACCAAUGAAAAACAUAUAUACAAGAUGUAUAAAACACCAUAUGUUUUCUUCUUAUAGCUCAUUUUUAAUGUCCUAUGUAUAAAACACCAUAUGUUUU